CACGCCGUAAACGAUGAAUACCAGGUGUAGGAGGUAUCGACCCCUUCUGUGCCGACGUUAACGCAAUCAGUAUUCCACCUGGGGAGUACGGCCGCAAGGCUGAAACUCAAAGGAAUUGACGGGGGCCCGCACAAGCAGUGGAGUAUGUGGUUUAAUUCGAAGCAACGCGAAGAACCUUACCAGGGCUUGACAUCCUUCGACGAUGGUAGAGAUAUCAUUUUCCCUUCGGGGACGAAGAGACAGGUGG
rnacentral:rRNA from 1 species